rnacentral:rRNA from 1 species
GGACCCGCACAAGUAGUGGAGCAUGUGGUUUAAUUCGAAGAUACGCGCAGAACCUUACCAACACUUGACAUGUUCGUCGCGACUUUGAGAGAUCAAAGUUUUCGGUUCGGCCGGACGAAACACAGGUGCUGCAUGGCUGUCGUCAGCUCGUGUCGUGAGAUGUUGGGUUAAGUCCCGCAACGAGCGCAACCCUCACUUUUAGUUGCCAUCAUUAAGUUGGGCACUCUGAAAGAACUGCCAGUGAUAAGCUGGAGGAAGGUGGGGAUGACGUCAAGUCCUCAUGGCCCUUACGUGUUGGGCUACACACGUGCUACAAUGGUAUCUACAACAGGAAGCAAAACUGCGAGGUUAAGCAAAUCCUUAAAAGAUACCUCAGUUCGGAUUGCACUCUGCAACUCGAGUGCAUGAAGCUGGAAUUACUAGUAAUCG